ensembl:lncRNA
UAAUUUAAUUGACUAAUAACAGAUAAAAUACUACUGUUUAAGGACAAUUUCCUUUCUUAGUAUUGUAUGUUGCUCGUCGGUUUGAGUUCUCCGCAUUCUCUCAGCUGAACGAUAGAUGGCAGCACGCGCUCAGUCCCCUGCAGUCUGAUGUAAACAUGUGUGACGUGUCACCAGAGACACGAGCACUACGUCAGGAAAGUCGCAUGCGCACGUCUGAACACCUGUGGUCGUGGAGGAAGCAGAUGGACGGGUUUCCGCAGUCAAACACUGACCCUCCUUCCACACUGACGCGUGCUUUGAUUCUAGGUAACAUCACAGAUAAUGCGUGACCGUGUAGACACGUCCCACUGGUGGAGGGGGAGGAGAAAUGCACACAAUCACUCACUGUGAAGUCAGAAAGACGAGUGGACAUAAGCUGCACGACUGACUGCAGGUGUGCUCAGGAUCUGUCUGUGCUUGGACCUGCAGCUCCUCAGAUGUCUGUGCUCACAUCCUGUCAUCUCUAGCUUCUGUGUUUUUGCUCUACAUCUGGUUCAUGGAGUCCUGGUUGACGCCUUUUUACGCGUCUUCGGAUGUCAUCGCCCUUCGAUUUCUGCUCUUCCUUUGCAAGGCCUAUGGAGUUGUGUUACUGCUGAUGCCGCCUUUGAUUGCUGUGGAGUUGUUGGUUGAUCUGCUGUGUCCUCAAAGUGGGCGAACGAAGGGUAGAGAUGCAAGCGAAUCCCUCUCUAGUACAGUUGGCUAUUUGGGAUGUUUUCUAGCAUGGAGCAUGAGCGGGAUCUACAGCAGCCACGACUGGAUGCUGGAGCAGAUCUCAGUGGAAACCUGUCAAGGAAAAGGUGGCCAUCUUCUCACGUGCCUUCCCAGCGCUGAUGAGUCUUCCUGGGUUCUUCCUUCUAUGGUGGUCCUGUUGAGUUUAACAGGGAGCCUGGGUCUGUUCAGGACGAAGGCAUCCAGAAGAUUGCCUGACUCAUCUAAAAACACACAGAUGGGCAAGAAAAAGGACUAUUUGGGCCCUGGGCUAAUGCAUAUGUCACAAACUCUGGUUGACUCAGAAAAAACACCCAACAGCUGUGGCGUACACAUGGCCGGGUUUGUGAACAGUGAGCCACGACAGAUCUGUCCUGGGAAUGGUGUACUGUGCGCUCAACAAACCGGUUUGGCAGACAGUAUCAAGAAACAAAAGCAAUCAUCCAGCUUUGCAACAUUUGCACAGUCCAAAACCGAUCUUUCUCUGGAAGUCACAUCAUUGGCUGUCUUUAACAGGACAGACGCAAAGUCUCAAAGCAGAUGCUAUUGGUUUCCCAAAAGGGAAAGUCCCUGCUCAGGGCGAGAAAUCUUCACAGGGUUGGUAUGCGUGGCUCUAGUUUGUGUUUUUCCCACAGUCAUCAGUGGUAAUAUUCUCCUAAUCUUUAAUCUGGAGAAUCUGGUGGUGUACAACUUAAAACUCUUAUCUCUAUCAGUUAACAGAGUACCGGAUCUGUAAGUGCUGAAGGUGCAGAUGUGUGGAUAAACAAAUAAAAAUCUAUAUAUUUAACCCUCUGGUGCUCUUUGGUCAUUUUUGACUAAAAAUUGUUUAUUUGUUUUUUUUAGAAUUGUUUACGUCAUCAGAAUGAUGGCACUUGUGUUCUAUUCUAAAUUCUAAAAGAUUUGAAAAGGUGAUUUAUAAUGACUGGAAUCAUUGGACAUUAAUGGAGAAUACAUUUUUUCUAGAGGACACUCUUGGUAUUGUGCCGGGGAAAAUAAAAAAUCUUACUGAAAG